UGGGGCAUGCCUAACAUGCAGUCGUACGUAGCCUUCGGGCUUAGUGGCGCACGGGUGCGUAACGCGUGGGAAAAAGCCCUUGGGUACGGAACAACAGUUAGAAAUGACUGCAAAUACCGUAUGAUGUCUUCGGACCAAAGAUUUAUCGCCCAGGGAUGAGCCCGCGUAGGAUUAGGUAGUUGGUCUUGGGAAAGGGCCACCAAGCCGACGAUCCUUAGCUGGGCUGAGAGGAUGAUCAGCCACCCUGGGACUGAGACACGGGCCCCACUCCCUCCGGAGGGAGCAGUGGGGAAUAUUGGACAAUGGGGCGAAAGCCUGAUCCGGCAAUGGCCCGUGAGUGAUGAAAAGCUUAAGGGUUGUAAAGCUCUUUUUCCCCGGAAAAAAAAAGACUGUACCCGGGAGAAAAAAAACCCCGGCUAACUCCCUGUCUUUUUUUUCCGGGAAUACAGAAAGGGGCUAGCGUUGUUCCGGAAUUUACUGGGGGGGGAAAACGCACCUAAGCGGCUUUGGUUAGUUUAAAGUGAAAAACCCCGGAGCUUAAACUUCCGGAAAUUUGGCUUUUUAAAAUU
rnacentral:rRNA from 1 species